CACAACAACAACAGCACUCGACGUCAGUAUUGUACCAAAAAAUGAAAAAAAAUAUUCAGAAAGAAGGCUCAUAAAAUUCAAAUAUUGGACAAGAACUAUAGAAGAUACAGAGAAAUUAUAAACAGCAGAAAUGAUAGGCAAUUUAAAAUUUGCAGAAGUCAACAAAACCUAAAUGGUGAUCAGACAUCUUGGUUUUCAUGAUCAAUAGGUCAAUACUGAAGAGGAAACUGAAAGUUGAUAUCUAUCUACAUGGUGCGCUAAUUGGAUUAAUGUGAAAUGGAAUGUGUGCUUUCCUGCAAAAAAGAAAUAGAAAAUUUCAUCAUAAUCACACGAUAAUGGCUAUAAACAAAAUGGAGUUCUAUCAUAGAUGCAGAAAAACACAAUUGUAUAAAUGCAACAACAUAUUAUAUAUAUUUGUCGAAAGAAGGGAGAAAUGAAGAAAAAAAUAGUAUUUUGUUGUUGAAAGGAACACUAGCUUUAUCUACUCAUUUACAUCGCUCCCUCAUAUCAAAUAUACUGAAGAAGAUCUUCGAAGAACAAAUUGCAAAAAUGUUUUCUCUAAGAUUUGAAGGAAAUUGUUUAGUGAAUGGAAUAAUUUAUGCAUUAAACUUUUACGUAGUGGAUUGAAUAACUGUACACAGCAGCUGAAACAGAGAAAAAUUAAAAUAAUAAGA